rnacentral:rRNA from 1 species
GUGAGGAAUUUUCCGCAAUGGGCGAAAGCCUGACGGAGCAAUGCCGCGUGAAGGAUGAAGGCCUAUGGGUUGUAAACUUCUUUUCUCAGAAAAGAAUUAUGACGGUAUCUGAGGAAUAAGCAUCGGCUAACUCUGUGCCAGCAGCCGCGGUAAGACAGAGGAUGCAAGCGUUAUCCGGAAUGAUUGGGCGUAAAGCGUCUGUAGGUUGUUUAAAAAGUAUUCUGUCAAAGAUUAGGGCUUAACCCUAGAUAGGCAGAAUAAACUUUUAAGCUAGAGUUUUGUAGAGGCAGAGGGAAUUCCCGGUGGAGCGGUGAAAUGCGUAGAUAUCGGGAGGAACACCAAAGGCGAAGGCACUCUGCUGGGCCAAUACUAACACUGAGAGACGAAAGCGAGGGGAGCAAAUGGGAUUAGAUACCCCGGUAGUCC